rnacentral:rRNA from 1 species
UACGUAGGGACCGAGCGUUGUCCGGAUUCAUUGGGCGUAAAGAGCUCGUAGGCGGUCUGUCGCAUCGGCUGUGAAAACCCGGAGCUCAACUCCGGGCCUGCAGUCGAUACGGGCAAACUGGAGUGUUGCAGGGGAGACUGGAAUUCCUGGUGUAGCGGUGAAAUGCGCAGAUAUCAGGAAGAACACCCGUGGCGAAGGCGGUUCUCUGGGACGGUACUGACGCUGAGGAGCGAAAGCGUGGGGAGCGAACAGG